rnacentral:rRNA from 1 species
UACGUAGGGUGCAAGCGUUGUCCGGAAUUAUUGGGCGUAAAGAGCUCGUAGGCGGUUUGUCGCGUCUGCUGUGAAAACCUAAGGCUCAACCUUGGGCUUGCAGUGGGUACGGGCAGACUAGAGUGCGGUAGGGGUGACUGGAAUUCCUGGUGUAGCGGUGGAAUGCGCAGAUAUCGGGAGGAACACCGAUGGCGAAGGCAGGUCACUGGGCCGCAACUGACGCUGAGGAGCGAAAGCAUGGGGAGCGAACAGG